GGGGAUGUGGCUCAGUGGGUAGAGUGACUGUCUGGCAUGCACCAAGCCCUGGGUUCGAGUCCUAGUACCA
rnacentral:tRNA from 1 species